CAGCAGUGAGGCAGGAUGCCUGUCCUCGCCCAAACAGGGAAUGCAUUGCCUGCCCACUGUGCUGCCAACAUUUCAGCUCCGUGGCUCAGCACAGGGAAGUCUUGGGGUCUGAUAGAGGAUGCCAACCUGCUAUUGCUUCUUCUGUAUUGUCUGUGCAUCCCAUCAGUGCCUGCACAUAUAUGUCAUUCCUGCAUCCCAUCAUGUCCAUAAGCUGUGUGUAGCAACUCAUUGAGGAGGGUGACUGGGAAAGCAAAAUGGGGGGAGAGAAGCAGAAGAUGAGUUCAGCUGUGGUGGAGGAGGGAUGCAGAGGAUGUGUGAAAGACAGCAAAAAAAUAAGCUUACAGCAUUUAUGGGCAUUGGAAAGAGGGGGGCACAUCAGCUGCCUAAGGGAUGCAACAGACUAACAACACAGCAAGGAAUGUAGGAGAACAGAGAAUACCACUGAUCGCAGCUUUCUUGCAUUACCAGUCCAUGGGUGGAGGAGCACUGGUUAAAGCGAGCUUUCUUUCAAAUCAAUGGGAGCACUUCAAGCAUGCUUCCUAUUUCUGCAAGUGUGCAUCCCUCAGCAGCCUUUGGUAUCUAAUCAGAAGUUAAAUUUGGCAACACUUUGUGUUUUCAGUGGGAACUCUUACAACUCUGUCCAGUUUUGUUGAAAAUGGCCAAAGAGAUCAAAGAUUACAAGCAAGAAGAAAUUCUUCUCAACUGUGUGAAUACACAAAUUUAAUUUCUUCAGAAAAUCAGAACAAAAAUGGACUUUGAUACCUUGAUCCAGCCAUCAAGUACCAAUCAAUCAGAUAAAAGAACAAUAGAAAAAUGACCUCAAGAAAAAUUC
ensembl:lncRNA